ensembl:processed_transcript
GGACACCUGGACAUAUUUCUUCCUGUUUUUUCCCUGUUGUUUGUCCGUAUUUUUCUAAACUGCCGUGCGCGGGAAGUGAUGUGACGUCCCAAUCACCCACUCACUCCCUCUGCACCUGCGUGAUUAACGGUAAAACGUCAGCUUGUCUGUGAGAGUGUAAAAGGUUCUUUCAUUUUGGUUAUAAGUACAUGGUACAGGUAAAUUCUUAGAUUCAAUCCAAACUGAAUUUGAAUUGAUAUGGACAAAUGAAAUAAAAUACACCUGGGAUUUUAAAUGUUUUCAAUUUUUUAUUAUUCACAACGUUUUUGAAGUUUGAAUGUACACUGUCUCAAACUGAAUGAGUGAUAUUUUUGUUGUAGGUGUGUUGGUGUAAAAAUUAAUGCUGACUGGUUAGUACUGCAUUUUUAACCAUAAAAAUAAUGAUUUAUAUUUAGCAUUGCAUCUAUUGUCAUUUUACCAAGAAUGUGUUUGCUCUUUCAGAACUCAGGCAGUUGUGCUGGACCUUCUGUACCUUAUACAGGAGAUGACGGUAAACUUUGAAGUUUAAGAGGUGUGUUGGUGUAGAAAUUGAUGCUGACUGAACUCAGGCAGUUGUGCUGGACCAUCUGUACUUCAUACAGGGGAUGACAGUAAACUUACAAGUUUAAGAGGU